GCCUAGUGAUGUAAUCAUGGCAGUAUGGUGAACUUUCAGGUCUGGGAUUAUGAUUUUGCAUUCUGUUUGUCGGGUAAUCUUGGUAGUGUUGUAGUUAUAUUUAAGUACUGUAAGGGUCCAGCUACAAUAACACUGACACUACUUUUAUAGUCACUGUCAUCCUCAAAAGUAAUGCGAUGGGUCAGGUUGAUAUGAAAGUGAAUGUAUACACUAUGUAGCAGUUGGUUAUUAAGAUGGAGGAUUCAUACAUGCUAAAUCCUCCAAAGACCUACAAUCUUUGGUAAUCUGAGGGAA